rnacentral:tRNA from 1 species
GUGGCGCAGCCUGGUAGCGCACUUGCAUGGGGUGCAAGGGGUCGAAGGUUCGAAUCCUUUC